AUUCCAUGAUGAGGAUAGGCUCGGAUGUACUCCUGGAGCCUCUCCCAUGCUUCGAGUAUGGACUCAAGUGAAGACUACUAGAAGUUAGAGAUCUUCCCCCUCAGAGC
rfam:Sorghum bicolor cultivar BTx623 chromosome 3, whole genome shotgun sequence.